rnacentral:rRNA from 1 species
AAACGUGGUCAAGGAACUCGGCAUAAUGAUCCCGUAACUUCGGAAGAAGGGAUGCCACGUCAGGUUGCCAGACUUGCUCUGGUUGCUCGACGGGGCCGCAGAGAAUCGACUCAAGCGACUGUUUAGCAAAAACACAGGUGCGUGCCAAGCCGCAUAAGGCGCCGUAUACGCACUGACUCCUGCCCGGUGCCGGAAGGUUAAGGGGAGAGGUUAGCCGCGAGGCGAAGCUUUGAUCCGAAGCCCCGGUAAACGGCGGCCGUAACAAUAACGGUCCUAAGGUAGCGAAAUUCCUUGUCGGGUAAGUUCCGACCUGCACGAAUGGAGUAACGACUUGAGUACUGUCUCGACCACGUGCUCGGCGAAAUAGCAGUCUCGGUGAGGAUUCCGAGUCCCCGCGACAGGACAAAAAGACCCCAUGCACCUUUACUGCAGCUUGUUAUUGACGAUUGCAUAAGACUGUGUAGCAUAGGUGGGAGCCGUUGAGACGGGGGCGCUAGCUCUCGUGGAGGCAUCAGUGAAAUACCACCCUGUGUUCUGUGAUCGUCUCACCGCGAUAGGCAAACCCUAUCCGGGACCGUGACAGGUGGGCAGUUUGACUGGGGCGGUCGCCUCCGAAAGAGUAACGGAGGCGCGCGAAGGUUGGCUCAGCGCGGUCGGUAAUCGCGCCUAUAGAGUGUAACGGCAGAAGCCAGCCUGACGGUGAGACCGACGGGUCGAGCCUAGACGAAAGUCGGCCGUAGUGAUCCGGUAGACCGGUGUGGAUCGGCUAUCGCGCAACGGAUAAAAGGUACGCUGGGGAUAACAGGCUUAUCGCGCCCGAGAGUUCACAUCGACGGCGCGGUUUGGCACCUCGAUGUCGGCUUGUCACAUCCUGGGGCUGGAGAAGGUCCCAAGGGUUCGGCUGUUCGCCGAUUAAAGUGGCACAUGGGCUGGGUUCAGAACGUCGUGAGACAGUUCGGUCUGUAUCCGUCGUGGGCGUUGGAGGGUUGAGGGGUGCGAACUCUAGUACGAGAGGACCGAGUUGGACGAUCCGCUCGUGUCCCGGCUGUGGCGCCAGCUGCAACGCCGGGUAGCGAUGAUCGGUGGCGAUAACCGCUGAAAGCAUCUAAGUGGGAAGCGUCCCCCAAGAUGAACCCUCCCUGGGAACUUUGUUCCCCUAAAGGGCCGGAGGAGACUACUCCGUCGAUAGGCGACAGGUGGAAGUAGCGCAAGCUAUUACGAGCUCAGUCGUCCUAAUCGCCCGUGCGGCUUGACUC